AGGUCCUUCUCCUAAGACUCCCCUCCCUCCCUUCUCCUGUUAUUCUCCAUAAGGUUCUGUGUCAUUCUCUUCCAAUAAAAGGCAAGACACACUUAAUGCCCUCUUUCUGGUUAAUCUUAGACAGAAUCUACUCUUAUAAAGUAGCCAGAAUAGCCUUAAUAUAAAAUUCAGAAUCAGUUCAUCUUUUUUUCUUUUUCCCUGUUUUGGUGCAUUUAGGGGAAGGAAAAAUCCUCAUAUACUUUUCUCCUCUGAAAAUCAGAUGGAAAUUCAGAAUGAACCUGGGCACAUCUAGGAGAGUUGCUUAUAGGCUUCUACAGUGGUUUAUGAGCCUACAGAAAUUCCAGAAAAAAGGAAGGAGUUGAAUGUCACAUGUACCAUUUCCUAUACACCUAAUGCCAUCACACUAGCUUCAGUUUUAAGCAACCCUCUGGCUGUGUAGCACUUUACUUAAAUGAUGACUUUUGACAGUUGUUCUAUGACUAACCAGGACAUGUCUUUACAGAUUGUACAAAAGCUCUUGCAUAACUUUAUUUUAGAAAUUCCAAUAAAAAUACCCAAAUUAUUAAACACCCCGUUAUAUACACUAAACACUAAGUCCCUGGGUUGUUUUUAAUACAGCUAGAAAUCCUGCUGUCUAAUCCAGAUGCAAAGAUCUCUUUAAUUGAAGGCAUACUGGGAAAAUAUUUACAAAGUAUACUUUUAAUAGGAACGAUUUAAGUUAUUUCCUCCCAUAUAUGCAAGCACAAGGAAUUUUUCACUUAGUUGCACAAGCAGCACUAGGUGUAUUUAUUGUUUGCUCCAUAAGAGUGAGCAUCAGAGCAAGCUACCUUUGUCUUCUAUAAAUAGGAAAGCUCUCCAGAACGGAAGAUUCAUAAGAUUUACAGAAUAAAUUAAAUGGCAAAGCACUGUCAUUCAAAAUUCUAUCUGGAGGUUUGGCAGAACCCCUAAACUGAUAGUGAAUUCCUAAGGAAUAGACCUGGUCACUGGUCUAUUAAAAGCUCCCUAUAGAUUCUAGGAGAUACUCAACUCAACUGAGAACUCUUGAGCAACAGAUUCAAAUUCACAUGUAGUCAAGCUUGGAGGCUGAGAAACAGAUGUAUAGCUGCAUCCAAAGGAGAUUUAAGAAUGACCUCAGAAUGAUGCCGUGAAUGAAUGAAAGUCAUUAACCUCUCUUCUAAGCCAGAUCAAAACCAACUGCAGGCAGCUUAAGUGCUACUGGCUGCUGCUUGAAUUCAGCCUUUCUGGAU